ACAAGACUGACGCCCUUCAGAGCUGGAGAGAAGACAUCCCAGCAAGUGGACAGGGCCAUGGAGAGGAACCUGGGAGCUGUGCUGGGGAUUCUGUGGGUGCAGAUUUGCUGGGUGAGAGGAAAUAAUGUGGAGCAGAGUCCUACAUCCUUGAGUCUACAUGAGGGAACCAAUUCUUCUCUGAGAUGCAAUUUUUCUAGUGCCAUGACAACUGUGCAGUGGUUCCGACAGAAUUCCAGGGGCAGCCUCAUCAGUCUGUUCUACCUGGCUUCAGGAACAAAGGAGAAUGGGAGGUUAAAGUCAACAUUCGAUGCUAAGGAGCGCUACAGCACCCUGCACAUCAGUGGUGCCCAGCUGGAGGACUCAGGCACCUACCUCUGUGCUGCUGAGGCACAGUGCUCCCAGUGAGCCUGCAGCCUGGCCCCAAACUGCAGCUGGCUGUACAGCUACAACCCCUGCCAUGGAAGACUCUGCAGGAGGCUUUGCACAGCUGUGGCCGUAUCAGAUCUCCACCAAUUACAGAGAAGAUGUGAGGAAAUAUAACAUCUUUGUAGAAGUUCACACUUAGAUUUACCUAAAUUCAGACUUACGAGACACUGACUGCUUGUAUGUCAAAUGCUCAGAAUCAUCAUCAGCCCACAACACUAAAAUACACACUUCGUUUUACUAAAUGCUUGUGCUAAUGUCACAAAAUAACACCCCCCAUAUAUACUCCAGAAUCAUUUGGGUCAUUUCUCAGGAUCAGAAACAGAGAGCAACUGUUUCUGUCCUUUGUUUAGAGAGCACCUGACCAACUGUCAGAUAAUUUGUCAAAUAUGAAGUUGAUAAAAGUUUAAUAUUUAGAUCUAAUAAUUUAAGCUGUAGAAAGGGAGAGUAAACUAAUCUUAUUAUUUAAUCAAGACAUCAUUUCUACCAUGUCUUUGCAUUUAACAAAAUAAUACAUUUAAUUACGCAAUAUGAAACAAAUAUUUCACAUAAAAAUUAUGAGAGCCGAAAGACAAAUGACUCACUAGAGAGUGAUGUAUUUGCAAUUUGUAUCACAGUAGUAUUUACAGCAAUUGACUCUUCUGAAAUAUUUAUACAUUUGCAAUGUAAUAGAUAUAUAAAACUUCUCAUUAAAACACUGUUUUCAAAAGAAAACUGAAAACUUUCUAAAUAUCACAAUAGGGGAUUAAGUCAUUAUAUCAUAAUUAAGUGCGAGACAAACAAUUGUUUUUCCUAAGUGGUGGCUGACUUCAUAUUGCAGUUGAAGGAACCUUGCUUAUCCUAGUCUCUGUAAGGAACUACAGACAGCCAUGCCAUUCACUCACUCAGGUAUUGUCUGUCCAUUGCUGUUUUCACUUAGAACCAGCAGCUGAGUGGCUAAGACAGUGAGUUGAUUGAUGGAAACAUCUCCUUUCUUGAGCUUCACUAACUAAUUUACCCCCUUGUGAUUCUCUCAGAUUCUUCCCCAAUGCAAUUGUAUUUUGAAGUGAAAAUUUCUGGUUCUUUGGAAACUCAAUUGUAACAUGUGAUGCUUUGCUGGAAGCUGUCCUAUGAUAGGAUUCUUUGUUGAAGCAGACAUGUGAGAGGGUGUUUUACUGGAGUGGACACUUGAGAGGUUUUGUGAUAUUUGGAAGUCUAAAUGGUACCCAAUAAACAGUAAGAGAACA